GCCUACAGCUGUGCAAGGGGAUGGAGAAAAAGUAUCUUCCAUACUCCUUGCCCAAGAAAGUAGUCGACUGGAAAGCCAACUGGUUUUAUAUUGGAAACCACGCUCCAGCACUAGCAGAUAGGACCCUUGGGCCUCCUCAAAUCUGCAAUGAGUAGACAUAUGCUGACUGAAACGCAGAUCAAGUGGCUGAGAUGAUUCAGAAGAUUGAGACAUUGAGGAAGGCAAAAAUCACUAGAGCAUCGGUGGUUUUAUAUAGGAUUUGCCGGUGCAUCUAGGGUCUUCAGAAGCGCAGCAGCUUCGGGUUCGCGUACUAGGGUGUCAAGGACCCCUCCUGCUUCACAAUGGAAAAGAUAACCAAAGCUGAAGCCUUGAGGUGAGUACGUUGAUCACUUGAAGGUAUCUUUGGCAUGCCAAUUCUGCCAAAAGCAUUCAACAUCAAGAAUCCACCCACAGAGGUAGGGAUUGAUGUAAAUGUCUAUCGUAGCAGUCCUCCGCUACCGGAGAUCACUCACCCUAGGCAUCUAUUGCCAAGUGCGCACAAGAAACCUUAUAAUUACCGGUCAAAUCAAGAUUCCAAUCCAAACCAUGUCCUGUCAGAUACUGAUUCUGAUGACCCUUGCAAAGAUUCUGAAGGGAAAAGGAACAAGUUCCAACCCAGGGUGACGCAGCCCAAGCCCUGGUGACGAUCCUGCUGGUAGUCACCCGAAGGGUCAGAUGACCAAGGUUCGGAAGCGGAAAGCUCCCACAACAUCCAGAGGUGAAGGAGAGACGCUGAUCAAAAUCCAUUUGACAUCCGGAGGUGAAGGAGAGACGUUGAUCAACAUUCGAAGGUCAAGAUACUGUUAGAGGCUGAUCCCGCGACAUCAAGAUCCUAAUUCAGAUGACAUAAUCAAAAUCCAUUUGCGAGUGUUGUCUUGUUUGCAAUUUGAUUUCUGGGUCAUCAUCAAGUUUCUCUUCCCUUUAGGCCUUCCAACCCGAAGCAAUCGAAGCAGAGGGUGAAGGCAACCAGGGAUGAUACUGGGACAAGUACUGAGGGGCCCUCUGUCGAGGAGGACCCAUCGAGUGGUACCGUUGCCGCCCCGCCGAGGCAAGAGGUGCUGUCAGGUGGUACUGAUGCCGCCCCACCGAGGCAAGAUGUGCUAGCGAGUGGCGAAGAUCAGAUUAGAGCCGCACAGGGGCAGUCGGUGCCCUCUGCUAGCAAGUUGGUGCCCGUGGGUGCUUCCGAGGCUACUUGAGCCCCAAAGGCACUUAGGGCAAAGAAACUUAUUGUGAAGAAGUCCACUUGAUAAGUUUGCAAGUACUUUCAGUAAUUGUUCACCUAGUUUUAACUUUGAUAGAAAACUUGAUCAAAUUCUCUAUGUGUGCAGGAAGUCACUCCGUUUUGGCUUUUGACCAGCUAGAGGGUGGCUCAGCUGUCCCAACCCCCCGAGCUAAGUCUUGGAUCGGGUACUCAAUUGCCGGAUCUUGAGCUGGCCAGGAUAGAAGAACUUCUCAAGUCUGCACCUGAAAAGGACUUAGCGGGCUCGGUUGAAGAGACUAGUGCAGGGGAUGCUAUGGCACUUCUAGAAGCGGAAGCCACACAGGCAGGUGAAGAAGCGCCAGAGAUUCCUUCAGCAACAUGCACGCCACCGCGACAGCCGUCGACAGAAGAGCAGGGCGUUGCGAGUGUUGUGCCCAGCAAGAUCCUGGUACUCCAGCGAAGUCGCAGUAUCUGGUCCUGACUAAACUAGUCGACGACCCGAUGUUGACCUCGGCAGUCCUGAAGCAGUUCCAGGACAACAUGAAGGAAUGCUAAAAAUUAGCCAUCAAUUUGGCCAACAGAUCAUAUUUGAAAUCGCAAAAGCUAAAAGCAGUCAGAAAUGGCCACAGGUUACUCCAUGAACAGGAUUGCCAUCUCGCCAAGAAGACAUACAAGUAUGUCAAGAUUCACAACGAGCUCUAUGUUGUGAAGCAAGAGUGUAUUCGGGAGACCUGGCUCCUUAUAAAGGAGAUAGAGAACCUGGAAAUGGGCAAGAAGUCUCUUGAGGAGAGAAUUCAGUCGUUGCAUAAAAAGAAUAAGGCUUUAGUAAAAAACCAUCAAGAUGAGGUGGAGAAGCUGGUCAAGGUCCUGAUUAGUAGCUAGUGCAAUGCAUGCAGUAGAUCAAGGACAUGGCAGCUGAAAAAGAUUUCCGCGAGAAAGAACUCGCUGAGUUGAGGAGUGCGCAAGAAGAACUCAGAGACUUGAAGGGUGCUGCGUAGAUUAUCGUUGAUAUGGUGGAUCCUCCCAAGGAAGGCGCAGCUGUGAGCAAGUCACUGUUGAAGUGUUGACGGUCUAAUUUGACCCGUUUUGAUCAUCAACUCUGGCAUGAAAACCAUGCAUAAAAGUAGAAUAAAAGGUAGCAUAGGAUUAAAUACUAACAAAUUCCACAUAUGCUGGUUUGGGAUUGUGUGCAGGUGAAUUUAAGCUAAAUUUGAAGCUAGAUGGCAGGUCAUGAUCAAAGAUACAAAUUUUCAGCAAAUAAGAGAGCAACACGUGUCGUCACAUGGAUCAAAGGGCCUACCAGAGCAAGAAAACCCACAUGGCAGAAGCUUAGGCACGUGCCAAGGCCAAUGGGACCCACCAGAAAGCUUCGUGGCCAAAGGUUGUGGCCAGAGGUGGGGUCCACUGGUUGGUCGGCCGACCAGUAGCUUCCUCCACCGACCUCCAGCCAGCCUAGGAGUUCAGGAGAAGCCAGGGGAAGUGCCGGGCCUGUCGGCACUCUUCUCCGCUUGUACCUCGAUGGAUGUUUAUCGAUCCUGACAUUAAAAAGUGCCAACAUGAAGCGACUACAGGAAGUCCAACAGAAGAUUCCUAGCUACCUCUUGGAUACCACCAAGCAGUAUGUUGCGACUUUUCAAGUCCUAUUGCCCCAAGGCGAACCUGACCCCAAUCGGAGAUGCAUGGCAAUGGAUUGCACUAAAGAAAGAUUUGUCGAACUCCUUGACAAAGUGAAGCCUGUGGCGGCAAAGAUAGUCGAGAGUCUAGAGCAGGAUCCUGACACGGAGUCAUGAACAAUGUGCUCAUCUCGAUACUUCACUACUAGAAAACCCCCCUAGAUACGUUGUAGUAGUAACACCACUUCAAAGCAUAUCUACAUCAGCUUGUAAAUAUGUCUCAUGAAACAUUUUUUAGAACA